UAAUCUAUGUUCCUACAUUCAAAGGAAACGAAGGACCGCUUCCUCUCUCAAGUUAACUUUCUUCCCACCACUUCGCCUCCAUCUACAUCUCUCCUCAAUCUAGGGUUCUUCUGGCGAUGACAGACGAGAGCAAACCGACGAAUAACUUGCCUAUAGAUCAUGACCAUCGCUCCAAGAAACAGAAAGUGAAUGCUGAUGAUUCUUCCUCAUGGAACCAAUUUGCUAAGAAUCCAACCCAUCACUCUACAACAGAAACAACUGCUCAGCGCUCUACAAUCCUGGACUUCCAGCAGAAUCACCAAUAUGAUUCGCAAGGAGUUAUAGUGCAUGGACCGUCGUCCAGGGAAUCAAGCCUCCGAAGAUUGGUUGAGCAAGUUAUAAGUGAGCUGCCUGAUAACAAGAACAUAAAAGAAGAUAAGGGAGGUAUUUGGUUGGUAGUGCAUCUUAGGAGUCGUUAUUGAUCAGCUAUUUGGUUGUUGUGAUGUUCGAAUUUUUAUCUCCACAAGUAAAUUAGGGGAACACCUUUUGUUUUGCUUGCUAAAUAAAAUUAAGUUUGUUUCGAUUUGCGUUAAGUGGUCCUAUUUGUAAAAGUGGAUCACAUGUAAUGUAACAGCCAUGGAAGGGGAGGCAAACGUUCAACAUUUUAUAUAUAUUCCCUUUUGUCGUCUCA